CAGCCGCCGCGGUAAUACGUAGGGUGCGAGCGUUAAUCGGAGUUACUGGGCGUAAAGCGUGCGCAGGCGGUUAUGUAAAACAGUUGUGAAAUCCCCGGGCUCAACCUGGGAACUGCAUCUGUGACUGCAUAGCUAGAGUACGGUAGAGGGGGAUGGAAUUCCGCGUGUAGCAGUGAAAUGCGUAGAUAUGCGAAGGAACACCGAUGGCGAAGGCAAUCCCCUGGACCUGUACUGACGCUCAUGCACGAAAGCGUGGGGAGCAAACAGGAUUAGAUACCCGGGUAGUCCCUGUCUCUUAUAC
rnacentral:rRNA from 1 species